GACGAACGCUGGCGGCGUGCUUAACACAUGCAAGUCGAACGGAAAGGCCCUGCUUUUGUGGGGUGCUCGAGUGGCGAACGGGUGAGUAACACGUGAGUAACCUGCCCUUGACUUUGGGAUAACUUCAGGAAACUGGGGCUAGUACCGGAUAGGAGCCCCUGCUGCAUGGUGGGGGUUGGAAAGUUUCGGCGGUUGGGGAUGGACUCGCGGCUUAUCAGCUUGUUGGUGGGGUAGUGGCUUACCAAGGCUUUGACGGGUAGCCGGCCUGAGAGGGUGACCGGCCACAUUGGGACUGAGAUACGGCCCAGACUCCUACGGGAGGCAGCAGUGGGGAAUAUUGCACAAUGGGCGGAAGCCUGAUGCAGCAACGCCGCGUGCGGGAUGACGGCCUUCGGGUUGUAAACCGCUUUCGCCUGUGACGAAGCGUGAGUGACGGUAAUGGGUAAAGAAGCACCGGCUAACUACGUG
rnacentral:rRNA from 1 species